rnacentral:lncRNA from 1 species
AUUCGGAUCGGAUCUUGCAGAUUCGGGUCCUUCGGGUCUAAGAGUUUCGAUAGGGUAAUUUGAAAUUUUUGGUUUUGGGUCGGUUCGGGUCUUGUCGGGUCCGGAUCGGUUCUAGAUUAUAGGAACCGAUAAUACCUGAAAUUUUUCAGUUCUUACAAUUUUUUGGUCGGGUUUUGGGUUUUUAGGUCGGUUUUAAGGUUUUCGAGUCAAUUUAAGGGUUUUCGGAUCGAAUUUUUUGUGUUUUCGGUUCGGGGCUACCGUAUUCGGGUCCAAAUUGCCAUGUUUGCCCGAGAUAUUACCAUGUAAUAAGAACCUGCGAUGCUUACAUACUUGCAAUAUG